UUUCACAUGUAACUACCUUCCCCUUAUGCACAAACCAUGCUUGAUCCACACCAAUGUUUUGUAGCAGGAAACUAAAGAAGUUGGUCAAGAGACUGAAACCGCAGCUGCUGAAGAUGCACCGAAUGUUAUUCCUGAGCUGACUAAAAACAAGAGGGUAAAUGCAGUGGCCAAGGGUGCCAGCGUUCCAAAGAAAGCAAAGCAGUAGUUCUUCAAUAGGCUAGACUCGCCGUGUACAUAUGGGUAUCUUCUAUGUUCUGCUUUCUUAUCAAGCUAAGUUAGCCGCUAGAUGGAUAUGCUGGUCAAGAGAGCUUCUCAGCUCUACUGCAUCGUAGCAGCGGUCUCGCCGUCGGGUGUGAAGAUCGCCAGCCCGGCACACUUUUGGUUAUGCAUCUGAUGUAUUUUGUGCACCUUUCUAAGACACGGCUUUGGCAUCUGUGGAGCUAUGUCAAGCCCUUUUCAUGACAAUUCCUCUAUUUAGGCGCUCAAACAGACCAUCUGCUAUGCGUUGUAAAUAUCACGUUGGCCCUUUCUAUCUUAUCUCCCUCCCUAUGACAAUUUCUACUCAUUGUAAAUGCCGUUGGGCCAUGGUACUUAAUCUACUGCUUGUCAAUGUCGUUGCCCUUUGUAUGCCUUCUUGUGUC